rnacentral:rRNA from 1 species
UACGGAGGGUGCAAACGUUGCUCGGAAUUAUUGGGCGUAAAGCGUACGUAGGCGGUCCAGCAAGUCGGGUGUGAAAGCCCUCGGCUUAACCGAGGAAGUGCAUUCGAAACUACUGGACUUGAAUACUGGAGAGGAUCGCGGAAUUCCCGGUGUAGAGGUGAAAUUCGUAGAUAUCGGGAGGAACACCAGUGGCGAAGGCGGCGAUCUGGACAGAUAUUGACGCUGAUGUACGAAAGCGUGGGGAUCAAACAGG